rnacentral:rRNA from 1 species
UACGGGGGGAGCAAGCGUUGUUCGGAUUUACUGGGCGUAAAGGGCGCGUAGGCGGUCAGCACAAGUCAGUUGUGAAAUCUCCGGGCUUAACUCGGAAAGGUCAACUGAUACUGUGCGACUAGAGUGCGAGAAGGGGCAACUGGAAUUCGUCGGUGUAGCGGUGAAAUGCGUAGAUAUCAGGAGGAACACCGGCGGUGUAGACGGCUUUCUGGACCGUAGCUGACGCUGAGACACGAAAGCGUGGGUAGCAAACAGG